rnacentral:rRNA from 1 species
AGCUAACGCGUUAAACAGGGCGCCUGGGGAUUACGGCCGCAAGGCUAAAACUCAAAGGAAUUGACGGGGACCCGCACAAGCAGUGGAGCGCCUGGUUUAAUUCGAUGAUCAGCGAAGAACCUCACCUGGGCUUGAACUAUAGCUGCAUGUUUCCAGAAACGGAUUCAGCCUUCGAGGGUGCUAUAGAGGUGCUGCAUGGCUGUCGUCAGCUCGUGUCGUGAGAUGUCGGGUUAAGUCCCACAACGAGCGCAACCCCUAUUCUGUAUUACAAUUAUUCAGGAGACUACCUCGCCACAACGAGGAGGAAGGAGGGGACGACGUCCAGUCAUCAUAUCCCUUAUGUCCAGGGCUACACAGACGCUACAAUGGUUACUACAACGGGUUGCCAAGCCGCGAGGCGGAGCCAAUCCCAUCAAAAGUAACCUCAGUUCAGAUUGCAGGCUGCAACUCGCCUGCAUGAAGACGGAAUUGCUAGUAAUCGCGCCUCAGCACGGCGCGGUGAAUACGUUCUCGGGUCUUGUACACACCGCCCAUCAGGGCACGGGAGUUGCUCUUGCUCAAAGUCUCACUUUAUGUGGGCCAA